AGAUUGAACGCUGGCGGCAGGCCUAACACAUGCAAGUCGAGCGGUAGAGAGGUGCUUGCACCUCUUGAGAGCGGCGGACGGGUGAGUAAUGCCUAGGAAUCUGCCUAGUGGUGGGGGAUAACGUUCGGAAACGGACGCUAAAUACCGCAUACGCCCUUCGGGGGAAAGCCGGGGACCAGCAAUGGCCUGGCGCUGAUAGAUGAGCCGAUGUCGGAUUAGCUAGUUGGUGAGGUAAUGGCUCACCAAGGCGACGAUCCGUAGCUGGUCUGAGAGGAUGAUCAGCCACACUGGAACUGAGACACGGUCCAGACUCCGUACGGGAGCAGCGAGUUGGGGAAUAGUUGGACAAGUGGGACGCAAGCCUGAUCCAGCCAUACCGCGUCGGUGAAAGAGGCC
rnacentral:rRNA from 1 species